AUACUUACCUCACGUAGGGAUACCGUGAUCAUGCAGGCAGUUCCCCAGGGUGAAGGUGCUCUGUUGCACUGCGGAGUGGUUGAUCUUUGCGAUUAUUUUUAUUUUUUUAUAAGUUUCACUUCUACCGUGUGUGACUUGCACACA
rnacentral:snRNA from 9 species